rnacentral:piRNA from 1 species
AUGGCCAUGCUGUGUCCCUUGAGGGAUGAGC